UCCUUCAUUCCACCGGAGUCUGUCUUAUACCCAACCAGAUUUCAGUGGAGUGAAGUUCA
rnacentral:pre_miRNA from 1 species